UACGGAGGGGGCUAGCGUUGUUCGGAAUUACUGGGCGUAAAGCGCACGUAGGCGGCUACUCAAGUCAGUGGUGAAAGCCCGGGGCUCAACCCCGGAACUGCCCUUGAAACUAGGUGGCUAGAAUCUUGGAGAGGUCAGUGGAAUUCCGAGUGUAGAGGUGAAAUUCGUAGAUAUUCGGAAGAACACCAGUGGCGAAGGCGACUGACUGGACAGGUAUUGACGCUGAGGUGCGAAAGCGUGGGGAGCAAACAGG
rnacentral:rRNA from 1 species